rnacentral:rRNA from 1 species
AUUGAACGCUGGCGGCAGGCCUAACACAUGCAAGUCGAGCGGAUGAAGGGAGCUUGCUCCUGGAUUCAGCGGCGGACGGGUGAGUAAUGCCUAGGAAUCUGCCUGGUAGUGGGGGAUAACGUCCGGAAACGGGCGCUAAUACCGCAUACGUCCUGAGGGAGAAAGUGGGGGAUCUUCGGACCUCACGCUAUCAGAUGAGCCUAGGUCGGAUUAGCUAGUUGGUGGGGUAAAGGCCUACCAAGGCGACGAUCCGUAACUGGUCUGAGAGGAUGAUCAGUCACACUGGAACUGCGACACGGUCCAGACUCCUACGGGAGGCAGCAGUGGGGAAUAUUGGACAAUGGGAGAAAGCCUGAUCCAGCCAUGCCGCGUGUGUGAAGAAGGUCUUCGGAUUGUAAAGCACUUUAAGUUGGGAGGAAGGGCAGUAAGUUCAUACCUUGCUGUUUUGACGUUACCAACAGAAUAAGCACCGGCUAACUUCGUG